GCCCUUGUCCUGGUGCUAAAGUGGAGGGCAUGCCUCGGGGUGUUCAGCCUGGGUGUGUAGAAGCACACAGUGUGGUACAGAGGACCCUCUCCAGACAGGUGACCCCUCACGCUGCUGUUCCCUCUGCUGAAACCCAAACUCCAAACCUCUCCUCUCCCCACCUUCACCUUGCCCCACGGCUUCCACAGACAGUGCCUCAACCCUGAGGAAUGAAUCCGGAGUUCCAACGACACUGACUUUCCCCGGAACUCAGAGCCAGAGAGGGCCAGGGUCCAGCCCGAGGUCACACAGCCAGGGCUUCUUCCCUCCGAAACCCCCAAGAACUGGACUUGCAGGGCUGGGACAGAGGUGGGGUGGGGGAAAGCAAUGCCUUGUCAACCCACGCAGGGAGCCCCGCUGCCAUCCCCAAGGUGCAUAAAGUCGAGGAACACCCCUGCUCCCGCGUCCAUGCUCACUCAGGGCCCUGCUCCAAGUGCUUGGCACUCAC